GAUGAACGCUGGCGGCGCGCUUAAGACAUGCAAGUCGAACGGAACUUAGCCGAAUGUUUACAUGAGGCGAAAGUUUAGUGGCGGACGGGUGAGUAACACGUGAGCAACCUGCCUUCGAGAGUGGGACAACAGAGGGAAACUUCUGCUAAUACCGCAUAUGACCACAGUACCGCAUGGUACAGGGGGUGAAAGGAGCAAUCCGCUCGAAGAUGGGCUCGCGUCCGAUUAGGUAGUUGGUGGGGUAACGGCCUACCAAGCCGACGAUCGGUAGCCGGACUGAGAGGUUGAACGGCCACAUUGGGACUGAGACACGGCCCAGACUCCUACGGGAGGCAGCAGUGGGGGAUAUUGCGCAAUGGGGGGCAACCCUGACGCAGCAACGCCGCGUGAAGGAAGAAGGCCUUCGGGUUGUAAAGCACUUUCAGAGGGAGGAGAAUGACGUUACCCUCAGAAGAAGCACGGCUAACUCCGUG
rnacentral:rRNA from 1 species